UACGUAGGGUGCGAGCGUUAAUCGGAAUUACUGGGCGUAAAGUGUGCGCAGGCGGCGUCGCAAGUCGAGUGUGAAAGCCCCGAGCUUAACUUGGGAAUUGCGCUCGAAACUACGAUGCUGGAGUGUGGCAGAGGAAGGUGGAAUUCCACGUGUAGCGGUGAAAUGCGUAGAGAUGUGGAGGAACACCGAUGGCGAAGGCAGCCCUUCUGGGCCAACACUGACGCUCAUGCACGAAAGCGUGGGGAGCAAACAGG
rnacentral:rRNA from 1 species